CACCUGGUUGAUCCUGCCAGUAGUCAUAUGCUUGUCUCAAAGAUUAAGCCAUGCAUGUCUAAGUAUAAGCUUUAAACGGCGAAACUGCGAAUGGCUCAUUAAAACAGUUAUAGUUUAUUUGGUGAUCGAUUACUAUUUGGAUAACCGUAGUAAUUCUAGAGCUAAUACAUGCGUCAAGGCCCGACUUCGGAAGGGCUGCGUUUAUUAGAUACAGAACCAACCUAGGCUCCGCCUAGUCCUUGUUGGUGAUUCAUAAUAACCCGGCGAAUCGCACGGCUUGUCCGGCGAUGGACCAUUCAAGUUUCUGACCUAUCAGCUAUGGACGGUAGGGUAUUGGCCUACCGUGGCGUUGACGGGUAACGGGGAAUUAGGGUUCGAUUCCGGAGAGGGAGCCUGAGAAACGGCUACCACAUCUAAGGAAGGCAGCAGGCGCACAAAUUACCCAAUCCUGAUACAGGGAGGUAGUGACAAGAAAUAACAAUACAGGG
rnacentral:ncRNA from 1 species